rnacentral:rRNA from 1 species
GGAAUUACUGGGCUUAAAGAGCUCGUAGGUGGUUAAAAAAGUUGGUGGUGAAAUCCCAAGGCUUAACCUUGGAACUGCCACUAAAACUUUUUGACUAGAGUAUGAUAGAGGUAAGUGGAAUUUCUAGUGUAGAGGUGAAAUUCGUAGAUAUUAGAAAGAACACCAAUUGCGAAGGCAACUUUCUGGAUCAUUACUGACACUGAGGAGCGAAAGCAUGGGUAGCGAAGAGGAUUAGAUACCCUCGUAGUCCAUGCCGUAAACGAUGUGUGCUAGACGUUGGAAAUUUAUUUUUUCAGUGUCGCAGCGAAAGCAUUAAGCACACCGCCUGGGGAGUACGACCGCAAGGUUAAAACUCAAAUGAAUUGACGGGGACCCGCACAAGCAGUGGAGCAUGUGGUUUAAUUCGAAGAUACGCGCAGAACCUUACCAACACUUGACAUGUUCGUCGCGAACCUAAGAGAUUAGGUUCAUCAUUCAGUUGGACGAAACACAGGUGCUGCAUGGCUGUCGUCAGCUCGUGUCGUGAGAUGUUGGGUUAAGUCCCGCAACGAGCGCAACCCUUACUUUUAGUUGCCACCAUUUAGUUGAGCACUCUAAAAGAACUGCCAGUGAUAAGCUGGAGGAAGGCGGGGAUGACGUCAAGUCCUCAUGGCCCUUACGUGUUGGGCUACACACGUGCUACAAUGGCAUUUACAAUGAGAUGCAAAGAGGCGACUCCAAGCUAAUCUCAAAAAGAUGCCUCAGUUCGGAUUGUACUCCGCAACUCGAGUACAUGAAGCUGGAAUUGCUAGUAAUCGCGGAUCAGCGCGCCGCGGUGAAUACGUUCCCGGGUCUUGUACACACCGCCCGUCACACCAUGGAAGUUGGUUACACCUGAAGGCAAAACGUAAAACU